rnacentral:sRNA from 1 species
UGAUCCCAGGGUGGUUUUAAGUACGAGAUUGACUACGAUAUUUUCUCCACGUAUGUGGAGG